ensembl:rRNA 5S_rRNA 5S ribosomal RNA
GGCUAUGGCCACACCAUCCUGAACGCACAAAUCUCGUGUAAUCUCGGAAGCUAAGCAGGAUUGGGCCCGGUUAGCACUUGGGUGGGAGACCACUCUGCAUGAAGAUGUUGUGUACA